AGUGGAGGGAGCCAGACGGGGAAGGCCGUGCAGCUUGCGAUGCCCUUGGCAGGAAAUGCCCGGGGCGGGGAAGUCCGUGGAGCCCCGUACACCCUGGCGGUGGCCAGGGCCUGGGGGACCAGGAACCAGGAGCGCCUGCUGAACGUCGGGGCACCGCAAAACAAAACAAAGGCAUAGAGAACGGAAAUCCAGCCAGGCGAGGUUCAGUCUGACGUACAGGCUCAUGCCCCGAGCCGGGCUGAGUCCCCGCCCUGGGAGGUUGGAGGCUGAGGUCCCUGGCCCUACCCAUACUCCCAGCGCCUCAGGUUGCCCAGGGCCCAACCAGGAGGGCAGGAAGGUAACCCCCAGGACAGGUGAUACCCGCCAGGGGCCAGUCGGCCUGGAGAUUCUACGCCACCAACCUCUCGCGCACAGACCUGCACUCCACGUGGCAGUACUACGAGCGAACGGUCACCGUGCCCAUGUACAGGUACCGCCGCCGGGCACCUGCCACCAAGCAACUGUUUCAUUUUUUAUUUUCCAUUUGUUCUUAAACCCCACUUUUUGUUGUUCAUUAUUUUGAUUGAUUUUUUUUCUUUAAAAUGUAUUUUUCACAAAGGA
rnacentral:misc_RNA from 1 species